AGAAUAUGCUCCCGGACUUCGGGUGGAUAAGCAAAACUGCAGGGCCGUGGCUGGUGUGGCAUACAACUCAGCGUUCAGUUUUAAUGGUAAGAAUGACACUUCUCUUGAAUCUGAGAUGGACAAAAAGGCCAUUCUUGUUUGACAAAUUGACAAGGGACUUCAAAUGCUCAUUGGGGUUUGCAAAGGAGCCAUGACUCACAUCGUGUUUUGUGCAGCAUAACUGCAGUCUUUUGACUUCUGCUUUUUUGAGGGAUAUAAUAGGUCUAAGAACAAAUUUCAUAAUGUAAAACCACUGCCAAGAACCAUUGCUCCCUGCUUAGCACUGCAGUGGUUUCCUUUUUCAUUUUCUAGUUUCCACUUAAUUCUUUACUAGCUUCCUUGCCAGAAAAUAACUUCUUUUGGCAGAACAAUUAAGUCUCCAACCCUUAGAUUAAUCAUUUGAAAGCAAGAUUAACAUCAUGGUACUGACUAUCCAUAGUGGUAGGGCGGCAUACUGCUUACAGAAAAAAGCUAUGUUGAUGGUAGCAGUGUUGCUGGUAGGGUCUCUGUCAGACAAGCUUUGCUGAGGAGCCAGACUUAAUUUACAAAAUAGCUUACUUACUUAGGCAAUCCCUCAUUGUCCGAGUAUGAUGGCCUUCUAAGUGCAGUGUCUCAGUGGUGGGUACGUAGGUGACUGUAGAGCCCUAUUCUUGACCCGCAUGUUCUUCCACAGAGAGGGCAUUGGUUUCCAGAUGGAAGUCAGUCCCGAUCAGGAUUGGCUUGACACGCCUUCCUCUUGGCACGUUUCUCCCUUUCGCCCUCCAUUCGUGUCUCAUCAGAUUCCACUGCACUGCUGCUCACAGCUGACCUCCAGUUAGAGUGCUCAGCAACCAGGGUUUCCUGGUUCUCGGUGUCUAUGCCACUGUUUUUUAGGUUAGCUUUAAGCCCAUCUUUAAAUUUCUUUUCCUGUCCACCAACAUUCCAUUUUCCAUUCUUGACUUGGGAGUAUAGUAAUUGCUUUGGGAAACAGUGAUCAGUCAUUUGGACAACGUAGCCAAUCCAGCAGAGUUGAUCGCAUAGGAGCAUCGCUUCAAUGCUAGUGGUCUUUGCUUCUUCCAGCAUGCUGACAUUUGUCCACUUUUCUUCCCAAGAGAUUUGCAGGAUUUUUCGGAGACAACGCUGAUGGAAUCGUUCCAGGAGUUGAGUGUGGCAUCUGUAGACAGUCCAUGUUUUGCAGGCAUAUAACAGGAUUGGGAGGACAAUAGCUUUAUAAACAAACACCUUGGUAUCACUAUGGUUGUCCUAAUCCUCAAACACGCUCUACUAUAGUCGGAAAAAUGCUGCACUCGCAGAGUUCAGGUAGUGUUGUAUUUCAGUGUCAAUGUUGACUUUUACGGAGAGGUGGUUGUCAAGUUAGAGGAAAUUGUCAACCUUUUCUAAUGUUACACCAUUAAGUUGUAUUUCUGGCAUUGCAGGUCUCCUGGCUUUGUUUUUGUUUUGUUUUUUUGUUGGCCUAGUUUGGAGCAAUGCCAUCAGCCAACAAAAAAAAAUAGCAAAACAGCUA
rnacentral:lncRNA from 1 species